UACGUAGGGUGCAAGCGUUAAUCGGAAUUACUGGGCGUAAAGCGUGCGCAGGCGGUUGUGCAAGACAGAUGUGAAAGCCCCGGGCUUAACCUGGGAACGGCAUUUGUGACUGCACGGCUAGAGUGUGUCAGAGGGGGGUAGAAUUCCACGUGUAGCAGUGAAAUGCGUAGAGAUGUGGAGGGACACCGAUGGCGAAGGCAGCCCCCUGGGUCAAGAUUGACGCUCAUGCACGAAAGCGUGGGGAGCAAACAGG
rnacentral:rRNA from 1 species